rnacentral:rRNA from 1 species
CAGUCGCCGCGGUAAUACGGAGGGAGCUAGCGUUGUUCGGAAUUACUGGGCGUAAAGCGCGCGUAGGCGGUUACUCAAGUCAGGGGUGAAAUCCCGGGGCUCAACCCCGGAACUGCCUUUGAUACUGGGUGUCUAGAGUAUGGAAGAGGUGAGUGGAAUUCCGAGUGUAGAGGUGAAAUUCGUAGAUAUUCGGAGGAACACCAGUGGCGAAGGCGGCUCACUGGUCCAUUACUGACGCUGAGGUGCGAAAGCGUGGGGAGCAAACAGGAUUAGAUACCCCGGUAGUCCCUGUCUCUUAUAA